GAACAAGAAAUGAAAGACAAUUUGUUCACCGUGGAGUCAAGUUCAUUUAAAAGAGGAAGAAGGGACACAAAAUCUGGCCUCAGGAUGGUCCCGCCAUGAGGUGAAUUCAUUCAGGGCAUGUCUUCCUCAGAGGUCCUUGAAUUUGAGGGAUGUGUGUUGUUUGUUGGGUCACUUUGAGAAGCUGUCAAGUGAACUGCAGAAACAAGCAAGACAUUUCAAAUGAAGGGACAUUGGGUUUGAUCCCGAUUUUGCGUCCAAGUUGUGCAACAUGAAGAGAUGAUACAAAUUCUCUAGGUCCGGUUUUAUCAUGACUAAAAUAAUUGAUCAUAAGAGAUGUGAGUAGAAAACAGUGCUCCUUUAGUUUCUCUAUAAUUUUCCCACAUUUUAAUGACCGUAAAUGGCAUGUCUGUGAGUUGCAUUCCCAGUAUAGAACUUGCUCUCUUCCUUCCCCUGAAUGGCAAUGACCUACAAUCUGACACUACGUUAUAACCUCUGCUCUCUUACAAGGUAGACGGGACAAGCGUCUAGAGCAAAUUCCCUUCUGAACUCUGAAAUGCUCCAGACCCUGCAGCACGUCCGUCUUCCUUGUGAUUUCAGGAGAUUCCUGUCCCUGCAGGAGCCUGGGAUCAAGGUCAAGUGGUGUGGCUCCAGCCUGUGAACAAGUGAGGUCCUGCAUUCUUUAUCAAGAUAAUGAGCCAGAGACCCCAUCCCCUUUAUACCGGCUCUCAGAGCGUGCCCCGUGCCUCACUCCUUGUCCCAAGACAACCUCGGGAGAUCAGGGGCUACAUUUAUCCUCCUGCUGAAGCUGGCUCCACCCCAACAUCAACACAGGCUGUAUGUGACACGUAUGGUUUUCUGAUGUGCACGCUCCAUCUUUCCUCAUCAAUAGUUACAUGUCCCGCCCUUUCCAUCAAUAUGUACAUAAUCUCAUCCCUUAUGAUUACAUUAAAAAAAAUUGUUCCUUCCCCUUCAGGGAGGAUAUUUAGCCUUGGCCUCCUACCUCUCAUUAGGCUGCUUCUAAAAUAAACCCUUUCCUUGCUGCA